rnacentral:rRNA from 1 species
UCAGGAUGAACGCUGGCGGCGUGCCUAACACAUGCAAGUCGAACGGGGUUACUGGCAGCGGAGAUUCGGUCAAAGCAGGCCUUAACCUAGUGGCGGACGGGUGAGUAACGCGUGGGGAACCUGCCCUGGUACUGGGGGAUAACAGGUGAGAAAUCACUGCUAAUACCGCAUAAGCGCACAGCAUCGCAUGAUGCAGUGUGAAAAACUGAGGUGGUACAGGAUGGCUCCGCGUUGGAUUAGCCAGUUGGCGGGGUAAUGGCCCACCAAAGCGACGAUCCAUAGCCGGCCUGAGAGGGUGAACGGCCACAUUGGGACUGAGACACGGCCCAGACUCCUACGGGAGGCAGCAGUGGGGAAUAUUGCACAAUGGGGGAAACCCUGAUGCAAGCGACGCCGCGUGAAGGAAGAAGUAUCUCGGUAUGUAAACUUCUAUCAGCAGGGAAGAUGAUGACGGUACCUGACUAAGAAGCCCCGGCUAACUACGUGCCAGCCGCCGC